rnacentral:rRNA from 1 species
UACGAAGGGGGCUAGCGUUGUUCGGAAUUACUGGGCGUAAAGCGCGCGCAGGCGGCUAUCCAAGUCAGUGGUGAAAGCCCGGAGCUCAACUCCGGAAUUGCCUUUGAGACUGCAUCGCUAGAAUUGUGGAGAGGUAAGUGGAAUUCCGAGUGUAGAGGUGAAAUUCGUAGAUAUUCGGAAGAACACCAGUGGCGAAGGCGACUUACUGGACACAUAUUGACGCUGAGGUGCGAAAGCGUGGGGAGCAAACAGG